UACGUAGGGGGCAAGCGUUGUCCGGAAUCAUUGGGCGUAAAGCGCGUGUAGGCGGGUCGGUAAGUCCGCUCUGAAAGCCCGGGGCUCAACCCCGGGAGGCGGGUGGAUACUGUCGACCUCGAGUCCGGAAGAGGCGAGUGGAAUUCCUGGUGUAGCGGUGAAAUGCGCAGAUAUCAGGAGGAACACCGAUGGCGAAGGCAGCUCGCUGGGACGGUACUGACGCUGAGACGCGAAAGCGUGGGGAGCAAACAGG
rnacentral:rRNA from 1 species